AUGUUCCAUCCAUUCUCAAUGCAAGGCAACAGAUUUCUCAACAACAACAAAAAUGCAAGUCAACAGAUACAUGUAUGCGGUACUGCUAAAAAUCAGUCUACUACUGCUUUUAGAUGCGUGCAAACUGCUUUUAAUUGUAAGUUGGCCCGUGUAGAUGGACGGACUAGUGGGCUGCUUUCGUGUCUUGUUUUUCUUGUCAUUUUUGGGUGGGCUAGGCAGGAGAGUGGCGGGCCUUGA
rnacentral:rRNA from 1 species